GUGCUCACUUUGACAGCCCAUACACUAAAAUCAGAACAAUAUAGAGAGGAGUAUCACGGGCCCUGCAUAAAGUUGACACACAAAUUCCUGAAGCGUGCCAUCUUUUU
ensembl:snRNA U6 U6 spliceosomal RNA